rnacentral:rRNA from 1 species
ACGAAGGAUGCAAGCGUUACUCGGAAUUACUGGGCGUAAAGCGUGCGUAGGUGGUUCGUUAAGUCUGAUGUGAAAGCCCUGGGCUCAACCUGGGAAUGGCAUUGGAUACUGGCGACCUAGAGUGCGGUAGAGGGUAGCGGAAUUCCCGGUGUAGCAGUGAAAUGCGUAGAUAUCGGGAGGAACACCAGUGGCGAAGGCGAGUCCCUGGACGAUACCCGACACUGAGGCACGAAAGCCAAGGGAGCAAACAGGA